rnacentral:rRNA from 1 species
GACGAACGCUGGCGGCGUGCUUAACACAUGCAAGUCGAACGGAAAGGCCCUGCUUUUGUGGGGUGCUCGAGUGGCGAACGGGUGUGUAACACGCGUGUAACAUGCCCUUGAAUUUGGGAUAACUUCAGGAAACUGGGGCUAAUACAGGAUAGAAGAUCCUGCUGCAUGGUGGGGGAUGGAGAGUGUGGGCGGUACGGGCUGGACUAGCGGCUUAUCAGCUUGAUGGGGGGGUAGUUGCUUACCAAGGGUUUGACGGGUAGCCGACAUGGGAGGGUGGACGGCCACCAGAGGCCUGCGAGAGGCACCAGAAGCGUACGGGAGGCAGCGGUGGGGAAUAUGACACAAUGGGGGGGAGCCUGAGGCAGCAACGCCGCGUGCGGGAUGACGGCCUUCGGGUUGUAAACCGCCGUCGCCUGUGACGAAGCGUGAGUGACGGUAAUGAGUAAAGAAGCACCGGCUAACUACGUG